AUGCAAGUCGAACGGUAACAGGUCUUCGGAUGCUGACGAGUGGCGAACGGGUGAGUAAUACAUCGGAACGUGCCCAGACGUGGGGGAUAACGAGGCGAAAGCUUUGCUAAUACCGCAUACGAUCUAAGGAUGAAAGCAGGGGACCGCAAGGCCUUGCGCGUUUGGAGCGGCCGAUGGCAGAUUAGGUAGUUGGUGGGAUAAAAGCUUACCAAGCCGACGAUCUGUAGCUGGUCUGAGAGGACGACCAGCCACACUGGGACUGAGACACGGCCCAGACUCCUACGGGAGGCAGCAGUGGGGAAUUUUGGACAAUGGGCGAAAGCCUGAUCCAGCAAUGCCGCGUGCAGGAUGAAGGCCUUCGGGUUGUAAACUGCUUUUGUACGGAACGAAAAGGCUCUGGCUAAUACCUGGGGCACAUGACGGUACCGUAAGAAUAAGCACCGGCUAACUACGUGCCAGCAGCCGCGGUAAUACGUAGGGUGCGAGCGUUAAUCGGAAUUACUGGGCGUAAAGCGUGCGCAGGCGGUUUUGUAAGACAGAGGUGAAAUCCCCGGGCUCAACCUGGGAACUGCCUUUGUGACUGCAAAGCUGGAGUGCGGCAGAGGGGGAUGGAAUUCCGCGUGUAGCAGUGAAAUGCGUAGAUAUGCGGAGGAACACCGAUGGCGAAGGCAAUCCCCUGGGCCUGCACUGACGCUCAUGCACGAAAGCGUGG
rnacentral:rRNA from 1 species